rnacentral:rRNA from 1 species
AGAGUUUGAUCCUGGCUCAGGAUGAACGCUGGCGGCAUGCCUAAUACAUGCAAGUCGAACGAGAGGAAGGAAAGCUUGCUUUUCUGAAUCUAGUGGCGAACGGGUGAGUAACACGUAGGUAACCUGCCCAUGUGCCCGGGAUAACUUCUGGAAACGGAUGCUAAAACCGGAUAGGUAGCAGACAAGCAUUUGACUGCUAUUAAAGUGGCUAAGGCCAUGAACAUGGAUGGACCUGCGGUGCAUUAGCUAGUUGGUGAGGUAACGGCCCACCAAGGCGACGAUGCAUAGCCGGCCUGAGAGGGCGGACGGCCACAUUGGGACUGAGACACGGCCCAAACUCCUACGGGAGGCAGCAGUAGGGAAUUUUCGUCAAUGGGGGGAACCCUGAACGAGCAAUGCCGCGUGAGUGAGGAAGGUCUUCGGAUCGUAAAGCUCUGUUGUAAGAGAAAAACGACAUUCAUAGGGAAUGAUGAGUGAGUGAUGGUAUCUUACCAGAAAGUCACGGCUAACUACGUGCCAGCAGCCGCGGUAAUACGUAGGUGGCGAGCGUUAUCCGGAAUGAUUGGGCGUAAAGGGUGCGUAGGUGGCAGAACAAGUCUGGAGUAAAAGGUAUGGGCUCAACCCGUACUGGCUCUGGAAACUGUUCAGCUAGAGAACAGAAGAGGACGGCGGAACUCCAUGUGUAGCGGUAAAAUGCGUAGAUAUAUGGAAGAACACCGGUGGCGAAGGCGGCCGUCUGGUCUGUUGCUGACACUGAAGCACGAAAGCGUGGGGAGCAAAUAGGAUUAGAUACCCUAGUAGUCCACGCCGUAAACGAUGAGAACUAGGUGUUGGGGGAAUAACUCAGUGCCGCAGUUAACGCAAUAAGUUCUCCGCCUGGGGAGUAUGCACGCAAGUGUGAAACUCAAAGGAAUUGACGGGGGCCCGCACAAGCGGUGGAGUAUGUGGUUUAAUUCGACGCAACGCGAAGAACCUUACCAGGUCUUGACAUUGAUGGACAGAACUAGAGAUAGUUCCUCUUCUUCGGAAGCCAGAAAACAGGUGGUGCACGGUUGUCGUCAGCUCGUGUCGUGAGAUGUUGGGUUAAGUCCCGCAACGAGCGCAA